rnacentral:rRNA from 1 species
GACGAACGCUGGCGGCGUGCUUAACACAUGCAAGUCGAACGGAAAGGCCCUGCUUUUGUGGGGUGCUCGAGUGGCGAACGGGUGAGUAACACGUGAGUAACCUGCCCUUGACUUUGGGAUAACUUCAGGAAACUGGGGCUAAUACCGGAUAGGAGCUCCUGCUGCAUGGUGGGGGUUGGAAAGUUUCGGCGGUUGGGGAUGGACUCGCGGCUUAUCAGCUUGUUGGUGGGGUAGUGGCUUACCAAGGCUUUGACGGGUAGCCGGCCUGAGAGGGUGACCGGCCACAUUGGGACUGAGAUACGGCCCAGACUCCUACGGGAGGAAGCAGUGGGGAAUAUUGCACAAUGGGCGGAAGCCUGAUGCAGCAAAGCCGCGUGCGGGAUGACGGCCUUCGGGUUGUAAACCGCUUUCGCCUGUGACGAAGCGUGAGUGACGGUAAUGGGUAAAGAAGCACCGGCUAACUACGUG